UACAGAGGUCCCAAGCGUUGUUCGGAUUCACUGGGCGUAAAGGGUGCGUAGGCGGUCGGGUAAGUCUGAUGUGAAAUCUCACAGCUUAACUGUGAAACUGCAUUGGAUACUAUCCGGCUAGAGGAAUGGAGGGGAGACUGGAAUACUUGGUGUAGCAGUGAAAUGCGUAGAUAUCAAGUGGAACACCAGUGGCGAAGGCGAGUCUCUGGACAUUAACUGACGCUGAGGAGCGAAAGCGUGGGGAGCGAACAGG
rnacentral:rRNA from 1 species